UAGUCUAUGAGCUAUAGAUGGAAACCUUUGU
rnacentral:piRNA from 1 species